rnacentral:rRNA from 1 species
CGCCGGCGACCGGCGCACGGGUGAGUAACACGUAUGCAACCUGGCCGUGACAGAUGGAUAACCGGGAGAAAUCCCGCCUAAUACAGCAUGACGCCGGGAAGGGACAUCCCUUUCCGGCCAAAGGGGGCGACUCCGGUCACGGAUGGGCAUGCGGCGCAUUAGGUAGUUGGUGGGGCAACGGCCCACCAAGCCGACGAUGCGUAGGGGUUCUGAGAGGAAGGUCCCCCACAUUGGAACUGAGACACGGUCCAAACUCCUACGGAAGGCAGCAG